UGGGUGUUUGAGCGGCGGGGUCAUCCGAUCCCCCAUCACGACGGAGCACUGGUGCACCCGGCACCACGAAGAUAAACACGAAGCUAAACACAAAUACAAACUCUGUGAAUAGAAAAAGUAUAAUAUAGUUAGUUGAGUUUAAAGAUUCAAACGGAGCAGUCAUUCUGAUGACAGCUCUCCCAGCCUAACUCGAUUCGGAAGUUUGAGCCUGCCCUUAAGGCAGUGCCACUAAACACUUUCAUUCCAUUCUCACUUAUGAACAACAGUCAACAUUUUGCCUUCCGCCAUCUGGUUUACAUUAACUAUUUUGGAAACAUCGUUGGUGGCUUGAGUUUGGGUCAACACUAGGAAUAAGCUUCCGCGUACCAAUGCAAAAGGGUACGAUAGUCUAUAAGUUAUUUAGUAAGCGAAAAUAAACGAACAGUUCAGAACAUCAACUCGAAGUGAUCGCCGGUUUUUCUAUCCGAAUGAAACCCUCAGCAGCGGUCGUUAUUUGGCGACCAGUGAUAGUAUGGAACCAGGACGGAACCGAAAAAGUGAAAUGAAAACUGUGCUGGUGAUUAAGUUAGCAGCAGUGAUUGUGCUAAUUUACCUGAUAACUGUGAUCAGAGAUGAACUUAUGAACAUGUAUGUAGCGAAGUACGCUAUUCUAACAAACUAGGAAAAUGUUCCUGAACGCUUAUUAAUUUGAGAAAAUAAUUAAGUGUUUUGUGAAGAUUGGCGUAAAAGUGUACAACGAAAACUGAGUAGAAAGUGUCUUAACAUUAUUACAAACAUGGGUAGCGAAGAAUCCAAGACACAAAUGAACCACCAGAGUGACGCUGAAGUGACGAUUAUUAAUAAUCAAAAUGAGCAUGCAGAGAAGUUGAAAAAUCAUGCAUUCAUACUAUGGGUCAUCCUUGCAAUAGUGGCUACUCAAUUAGCUAUAACACUUGUGGGUAUAGUGAAACGUUACGUGAGUAGGAAAACAAUGAAUAAAGCCGAAG